rnacentral:rRNA from 1 species
GACGAACGCUGGCGGCGGGCUUAACACAUGCAAGUCGAACGGAAAGGCCCUGCUUUGGUGGGGUGCUCGAGGGGCGAACGGGGGAGUAACACGUGAGUAACCUGCCCUUGACUUUGGGAUAACUUCAGGAAACUGGGGCUAAUACCGGAUAGGAGCUCCUGCUGCAUGGGGGGGGUGGGAAAGUUUCGGCGGUUGGGGAUGGACUCGCGGCUUAUCAGCUUGUUGGUGGGGUAGUGGCUUACCAAGGCUUUGACGGGUAGCCGGCCUGAGAGGGUGACCGGCCACAUUGGGACUGAGAUACGGCCCAGACUCCUACGGGAGGCAGCAGUGGGGAAUAUUGCACAAUGGGCGGAAGCCUGAUGCAGCAACGCCGCGUGCGGGAUGACGGCCUUCGGGUUGUAAACCGCUUUCGCCUGUGACGAAGCGUGAGUGACGGUAAUGGGUAAAGAAGCACCGGCUAACUACGUG